GGAUAACCGUAGUAAUUCUAGAGCUAAUACAUGCAAAAAAUUCAGACUUUUCUCUGUAAAAGGGGGAAGGAAUGAAUGUAUUUAUUGGGUUAAAAAAAAUCAGUUUUUUAGUUGGGGUAACUUGACUAAAAAAAACUUCAAAAAUUUGGUGAAUCACAGUAAAUUUACGAAUCGAAUCCUUUUUUUUUAAAAGGGGAUUUGAUGAUACAAAUGAGUUUCUGACCUAUCAACUUUCGAUGGUAGUGUAUUGGACUACCAUGGUUAUGACGGGUAACGGAGAAUUUGGGUUUGAUUCCGGAGAAAAAGCCUGAGAGACGGCUAUUACUUCCAAGGAAGGCAGCAGGCGCGUAAAUUACCCAAUCCUAAUUCGGGGAGGUAGUGACAAGAAAUACUGAUAUUGAUCCCAACGGGAACAAUGAUUGGAAUGAGAACAAUUUAAAAAACUUAACGACUAACAAUUGGAGGGCAAGUCUGGUGCCAGCAGCCGCGGUAAUUCCAGCUCCAAUAGUGUAUAUUAAAGUUGUUGCGGUUAAAAAGCUCGUAGUUGGACUUAAGGGAUUUAUAUAAAAGGAUCUUACUUUUAAAGCUAAGUAUCUUUAUAUGUUUUUUCCUUUCUUUUUAUUUUUUUUUAAAGAUUUGAGAAUAUGGGGUUAAAUCCGGAAGCUCUUUUCUUGUAAAAAUAGAUAGUUUACUUUGAAAAAAUUAGAGUGUUUAAAGCAGACAUGACAUGUACAAUUGAAUAUUACAGCAUGGGAUAAUAGAAUAGGACAUUAACCUUAAUUUUGUUGGUUUUGAAGGUUAAUAGUAAUGAUUAAAAGGGAUAGUUGGGGUCACUUGUAUUUGAUCGCUAGGGGUGAAAUCCUAUGAUUGAUCAAAGACAAACUACUGCGAAAGCAUUUGACAAGGAUGUUUUCAUUGAUCAAGAACGAAAGUUAGGGGAUCGAAGAUGAUUAGAUACCGUCGUAGUCUUAACCAUAAACAAUGUCGACUUUGGAUUAGGAAAUAUUACAUGGAUGAUUUUCCUAGCACAAUAUGAGAAAUCAUAAGUAUUCAGACUC
rnacentral:rRNA from 1 species